rnacentral:rRNA from 1 species
AGAGUUUGAUCCUGGCUCAGGAUGAACGCUGGCGGUAUGCCUAACACAUGCAAGUCGUACGAGGGUUUCAUACCCAAGUGGCGGACGGGUGAGUAACACGUGAGAAUUUACCCUAAGGAGGGGGACAACAACUGGAAACGGUUGCUAAAACCCCAUAUGCUUUCGAGUGAAAUAGAUUUAUCUGCCUUAGGAAAAGCUCGCGGCUGAUUAGCUAGUUGGUAAGGUAAUGGCUUACCAAGGCGACGAUCAGUAUCUGGUUUGAGAGGACGAUCAGACACACUGGAACUGAGACACGGUCCAGACUCCUACGGGAGGCAGCAGUGGGGAAUUUUCCGCAAUGGGCGAAAGCCUGACGGAGCAAUACCGCGUGAAGGAAGACGGCCUAUGGGUUGUAAACUUCUUUUUUCAGGGAGGAACUCAAUGACGUGUACCUGAAGAAUAAGCAUCGGCUAACUCCGUGCCAGCAGCCGCGGUAAGACGGAGGAUGCAAGUGUUAUCCGGAAUCACUGGGCGUAAAGCGUCUGUAGGUGGUUUAGUAAGUCGACUGUUAAAUC